rnacentral:rRNA from 1 species
GCAGACGCUGCCUGUCCAGAUAUAAUAAAACUACUAAUAGGUUUAAUUAAAACAUAAUAAGAUCCAAAUAUAUCUGAAUCAAACUAUUAACUAAAACAAGGAUUAGAUACCCUUCUAUUGAUAGCUUAUCAUAGGGUUGGAAAAUACGAACUAUAGUUUAAACACCAAAGAAUUUGGCGGUGUCUUAUUCAAUUAGGGGAACCUGUCCUAUAAAUCGAUAAUCCACGUAGGCCUUACCUAAUUUUGAAACUCAGUUAGUGUACUGCCGUCUAAAGUAUACCUUUAUGAGAGUAUACAAUAAAUUACACCAUUAAUUAUACGUCAGGUCAAAGUGCAGCUUAUAAUUAGGCAGAGAUGGGUUACAAUCUUUAUAAAGAUACGGACCAAAUAAUCAAACUUUAUUUGUGAAGGUGGACUUAACAGUAAUUAUUUAUAGUAUAAUGAAAAUAAAAUUAAGACAAGCACAAAUCGCCCGUCACUCCGUUCAUAGGAUAAGUCGUA